UGCCCAGUGGUGUAGUGGUAACACAUUUUCUUCAUCUGAAACAUCAGGGUUGUGUUCAGAGGAAGCACCCUGUUUGAUUCAGGGCUGGGCCA